AGUGGUAAAUAAAAUGCAUACAGGACAGCCUGCGGUGGUGGAGAGGGAUGGCUCUCAGGAGCAAUGAAGACUGGUGUAGAGUGAUGGCCUUGGAAGCGGCUGAUGGAAUGCUUUCCUCCAGAUCAAGUACAGAACCAUCCUGCUGGAGGAUGCCCAGAUUCAGUGGACUUCAAAGUCGGUGGGGUCCUGACCCGAAAUACUCAGAGCUGUGUAUCUAGACAGAGACUAACUCCAACAGGAGAAGCAAAACUGGCCUGCUUUGGGAGUAAAGUUUGAUUAAUGCCAGAUCCUUAAACAAGAGAGAAAGGGAGAGAGAAGACUUGAGCAAACGGAGACAUAAGUUGAGAUCAUCUGUCAUGCCGGCUGCCCUCUGCAUCAUAUUAUCUGGAGAAGAAAAUCAGCCCGUGGGAUGAUCUACAAGGUGCACAUUACAUGGGAGUCCCAUUGGAUACCGGUUGUUCUUGUGUCCUGAGAUUGAAGAGAAAUAAGAACCCUGCAAAGAAACAGCAUGUGCUAUGAGAAAGCAUCAAUAGGAGAGGGAGAGAACAGAAUUGCAGCUGAAGGCAGCGGAACUGACGGAAGUGGGACUCUAACAAUAAUGGGGAAUAGGAGUUCCAGAGAACAUGUGACCCAUGCGUCUGUCAGCCUGGCCCAGGCUCACUCUGAGUUCCUGACUUCCUCUCUGAAGACUCUCUCCCACAUGUGCUUCUGUCAUUGUGACACUACCUGCCAGGAGACCUUCAGAAGACUCAAGCCCAUGCCUUGGAACCUAUAAGAAAACCUCUUUUCUUGAUAAAUUCCCCAACCUCCAGUACUUCAUUAUAUUAACAAAAAACUAACUCAUUCACACUAAUUUUUAAGAAGUGAAAUAAUAAAGAGAAUUCUGUUAUGUCCUUAUGUAGGAAUAUUACUAGUCAUUAAUUACCAUUAAUACUAUUAUUACCAGUUAAUUACCAUUUAUGAGCUUCAAGAACAUUUAAAAUAUAGAAAAAAACACCUGUAGUGCUAAUA